rnacentral:rRNA from 1 species
GAGUUUGAUCCUGGCUCAGAACGAACGCUGGCGGCGUGCUUAAGACAUGCAAGUCGUGCGAGAAAGUUCCUUCGGGAGCGAGUAAAGCGGCGCACGGGUGAGUAACGCGUGGGUAAUCUGCCCGAAGGUCUGGGAUAACUCCGGGAAACUGGGGCUAAUACCAGGUGAGACCACGCUGUCUGCGGACAGCGCGGAAAAAGGUGGCCUCUGCUUGCAAGCUACCGCCUACGGAUGAGCCCGCGUCCCAUUAGCUAGUUGGCGGGGUAACGGCCCACCAAGGCUGAGAUGGGUAGCUGGUCUGAGAGGACGACCAGCCACACUGGAACUGAGACACGGUCCAGACUCCUACGGGAGGCAGCAGUCGGGAAUUUUGGGCAAUGGGCGAAAGCCUGACCCAGCGACGCCGCGUGAGGGAUGAAGGCCUUCGGGUCGUAAACCUCUGUCGGAAGGGGCGAAAGGUUCUUGGGCGAAUAGGCCAAGGGCUUGACGGUACCUUCAAAGGAAGCGCCGGCUAACUCCGUGCCAGCAGCCGCGGUAA